rnacentral:rRNA from 1 species
AUUGAACGCUGGCGGCAUGCCUUACACAUGCAAGUCGAACGGCAGCACGGGGCAACCUGGUGGCGAGUGGCGAACGGGUGAGUAAUGCAUCGGAACGUACCUUUCAGUGGGGGAUAACGUAGCGAAAGUUACGCCAAUACCGCAUAUUCUGUGAGCAAGAAAGCAGGGGAUCGCAAGACCUUGCGCUGAUUGAGCGGCCGGUGUCAGAUUAGCUAGUUGGUGAGGUAAAGGCUCACCAAGGCGACGAACUGUAGCGGGUCGGAGAGGAUGAUCCGCCACACUGGAACUGAGACACGGUCCAGACUCCUACGGGAGGCAGCAGUGGGGAAUUUUGGACAAUGGGGGCAACCCUGAUCCAGCCAUGCCGCGUGAGUGAAGAAGGCCUUCGGGUUGUAAAGCUCUUUCGGCCGGGAAGAAAUCGCACGGGCUAAUACCCUGUGUGGAUGACGGUACCGGAAUAAGAAGCACCGGCUAACUACGUGCCAGCCGCCGCCGUAACAC